UACGAAGGGGGCUAGCGUUGUUCGGAAUUACUGGGCGUAAAGAGCUCGUAGGCGGUUUGUCGCGUCGGCUGUGAAAACCUAGGGCUCAACUCUGGGCUUGCAGCCGACACGGGCAAACUAGAAUUCGGUAGGGGAGACUGGAAUUCCUGGUGUAGCGGUGAAAUGCGCAGAUAUCAGGAGGAACACCGGUGGCGAAGGCGGGUCUCUGGGCCGAUAUUGACGCUGAGGAGCGAAGGCGUGGGGAGCAAACAGG
rnacentral:rRNA from 1 species